rnacentral:rRNA from 1 species
AUGUCGCCGGCCGCUGGAGGCGCCGCGCCCACGCAACCGGCGGCCACCGCCGGACUGGCGCCGGCGGCGAUCGCCGCGCCGCCCCAGGCCCCGUCGCGGGUGAACCCGCGCGAUCCGGCCGCGCAGGCGGAAGGGGCCGAUCCCGGCAAUGCGGCGGCGAGGAAGACGGCGUGGAACGUGCCGCCGCCGCCCCCGGCCCCCGUCGGCGGCAUCAUGGGCGGCGACGAGUCCUGGCCGGCGCUCGCGGACGCGGCCGCGCGGGCCUGGCCCAAGUCCUCCUCGUCGGACUCCCUCAAGUCCCUCUCCGACGGCUCCGCCCCCUCCCCGCCGGAGGAUCCGAUUGUGCCACUGGUGCCACCGCAGCCGCAGCUACAACCAGUUUCUACUCCGAUAUCCGCUGCCUCAAGUCCAGGCCCUGCCUCUACCUCUCCUCCUCCUAGUGCCAGUGCCACCACCACGGCCUCGUCGCCGCAGAACGGCAGCACUAGCCAGCCAAUUUUAGUUCGGCAUGGUGGUGGUAACGGUGGUAACAAUGGAGGGGGCGGCGAUGGCAAUGUGAGCACUCAUAGCCAGAGCACCGGUAAUUAUAGCAGUGACGGGAACAGCAGUAGUGGUGGUGAUGGUAACUGGAAUGAUGGGGGUCUUAGUGGUGGCAACAACUUGAAUUCUAGUGUUCAUAGCGGCGCCAUUGGUGGCAGAGGUAUUGACAAUAGUAGGAGAGUGUUCGGUAGUAACAAUUGGAAUGGCAACGGUCGUGGUGGUGGCAGCUACAACAAUGCCACCGGCAGCGGUGAUGGGGGCAACAGAUAUAACGGCGGUAGUGGCAGCGGCCACUGGAACAAUAAUGCCCGACAUGGUAGUGGUAAUAGCAAUGGCUUUGGUGGUCGUGGCGGUCGGAAUCGCCGUGACCAUGAAAGAGGGAGUAAUUUCUCACCAAGGGGCUAUUCCCGUACAUUGCCAGUGCAGCAGCAGCAGCCGGGCUACUACCAGCCUGGUCCAUUUCAACGACCACCACCGCCAUCACCUGCUGCUGCCCAUUUCAUGGUGCCACAACCUUUUGUGCCAUACGUUCAACCCAUUCCGUAUCCUGCUGAUUUACAAGCCUCCUAUCCUUACUAUGUCACACAAGUUGAGCAGCAGUUUCAAAACAUGCAUCUUAUCCGGCCGCCAAUGCAGCCAUUGGCGUUUCAGCAAGAUCAAAUUAAUCUCCAACGUGACAUUCAGCUGCAGAUCGAGCACUAUUUUAGCACUAAUAAUCUUUGCCACGACACAUACUUGAGGGAACGUAUGGAUGAUCAAGGAUGGGUGCCUAUUGACCUAAUCGCUUCAUUUCCUAUGUUGACCAGGUUCACAAUGUUGGGAAUAGAUACCAACUAUAUACUAGAUUCUAUCCGGGGCUCUGAGUUGUUGGAAGUGCAGGGAAAUAAUGUCCGAAGACGCAAUGAUUGGGCGGCAUGGUUACUCCACCGAGGCCCACCACCUUCAAAUUAG